CCGAAAUUUACUUGUCAAAAGUCCCUCUACCGCAACAUAGUUUUAUCAUCCCCGUCCUACUUUGGACGAACCUUGUAAACAAGCAAAUUUCUCUGCUGCUAGCUAGCUGGAGCCGACAAGUGCACCCAGGCUCGAUACUAUACCCGGGUUCAUUGUGCAGGUUCUGUGGCUCUGUCCUGUAAAGAAUUACUCUGUCCGUGUAUGUAGCUGUAGAUGGCCGCCGCCUGGACUAGGAGAGGGCAAAGGAAAGCGGUGGAAAACGCUACUCGGGCAGGUGUAGCCUGAUUUUUGAUUGGAUUGUGUUGAGCUGCUUUUCACUCAGAGUGAAGGAGUUCAAUUUUGGCAACCUCAAGAGAGGGUGUAGUUCAUCUCUCUACCUCGGGAAAGAUAUAGAUCUGUCAAUAUGCUGCAUUAUACCAUUUUGGUGCUAUCAAUGAGUGGUAAGUACACUUCUUCCCAUUAUUAUCUUUACUUUAAGUUUUAUCGGUGAUAUAAGAAUAUGACAGACCCGAAGAACAACCAUGAUGGAGUUACAAUGUACUACAUGUACAAAUAGCUCUGUUGAAAGGCUUUGUGGACUGACCCUGUCUCAGAUUGUGACAAACAGUCCACCGCAUACAUAUCAAUGGGCACUGGUAGGGGGAUGGGUUUGAGCGUCCAUUCAAUUUGCAUCAGUUUUCUCAUCCCCCAGCUUAAUACUUUGUGCUAUGAGAGGGUUGGGUUGGUAUGAGGGGUCUUUUGUGUCAUGUCAAUUCCUGUUGAAUAGAGAGAAUAGGCCCUGGAAUACACAAUGUAGGAUCUCUGCUUGGCUGAGCCCCUUCAGGAGUGGGUAUUCUUGGGGGCUAUUGUUGAAGUGUCCUACUUAAAAUACAUGUAGGAACUCUUGUUGUGCCCUGUAUGAGACUAUUUUCUAACACCCUUCCAAUUGUCACCAUUAUUUGUGAUGAAUGUGGAUGUGGUUUUGUGAUAGAACAAUGUAUUUCCCUAUUGAAUGUACUAACUUAAACUUUUUUCAAUGUCUAUGGAUCAGUUGAAGUUUUGAAUUGGAAAUCUAAUAUGACUGUAUGACCAAGAAGUGCUGAAAGUUCUAGUCCUGUACAGAUGCCUUGUAAUGUUGUAGUUCUAUGCAACAGUCGUUGUGCUGUUAGGCAAGAUUAGUUUGACAGCUGUAGUACACAUGCCAUUUUUUAAUUCCACUCCCUGUCAAUUAUGAAUUAUGCACAUGUGUAUGAUUAAAGGACCAAUCACAUAUCAACCAUAAUUAUUAACUUUAAAAUAUAUUGCAUAUUGGUGUUGUACACUGCUAUUAAAUGAGCCUCCAACAACUAUUUUCUGGCAUCCAAUAUCUUCUUUUUUUAACGAUUAUAUUGUUAAUCAUUGUUAAAUCGUAAUUGUUAUUGAAGACAUUUGUGUCUACUCUACAUGCUGUUCACAUGUCAAGUAUUGUCACCCUUUUUUUUCUAUUAAAUAUAUGGGAGGUUUUAGUGUCGUGCACAAAUCAACAGCGAUACGCACAAAGCUGUUAAUUACAUUGUUUCUUGUCUGAGAAGAAUAAGAUUAGAUAAUGUUUCCUGUUAGUGAAUCAAUGACUUUAUUAUGUUUUGAAAAUGUCUACAGGUCAGCAACAACUUGAUGCACAUUACCCUAUCCUACAUGUAUAGCAACACAUACUAUUCUCCAAUAACAAUUUCCCUCGAAUAGGAGUUAGAUAAUUUGAUUUAAACCAUGGGUCCAUUGGCUUCUUGUGGGCUUAUUUACUCGAAUUCUGGUUAAAGAAAGUAUACCGGUAAGUUAGACAGUACUGUUUUCACACUGACUGGACUAAAACUGUGUGUGUGAAAAGCCCCAAAAAGUUAGUCCGGGGCUAAGGAUAGUAUGGGGUUAAGCAAAAUGAGUGUGAAAAGAGUAAAUGGCUACAUUUAUACAUGUGGGAGUGUUAUUUGACGAGUGAUAUUUCAACAAUCCUGCUCAGAAUGAGAAGUGGAGCCAUUGAAACUGACUGCUCGGUUCCCUCGAGAGGGUGAGCUACAUUCCUCAGUGAUGUGGUAAUGCUGUUAACUUGUUAAGGGCCUUGUUCAGCACACAGUUUUGUGUGUUGUAUACAUGGUCAUAGAGGGUCAAUGUCAAAGAGCUAUUUGUGAACCGACAAACUGGGGCACAUUUCUGUCAGAUUCAUACAAUCUUAGUUGAAAUGAUAACUUUGAUAUUGAUUACAACAGCUUUGAGUUUGAAUGUACAACUAUUAGUAUUAGUAUUAGAAUUAAGAGAAAGUUUUUUUGUUCACAUACAGAUUUAUUUGUUAGAAAUGACAAUGAACUUGUAUUGAUCUCCUGACCUGGAAAUUUUUCGAUAUGGUUGUGGGAAGACUAACAAUUGGUGUAGGUGCAUGUUGCAUUGGUGACUUGUUAAAAGACCUCUGUGCACUUUAUUUGAGUAUGGGAAGUUUUUUUAUACUCCAGAUGGAAAAUGGUUCUACCUAGAAAUAUGUCUUUGACCCUAAGAUUAUUGGAAAAUCCUCCUUUUUAUGUGAUAUAGACCUAAGAUAUUAUGAUUUCUUGCCCUCAGAACAUAUUUUCAAAUUACACAA